AUGAGACACACCCAUAGUACACUUGCCCUCUGGAGAACACCUGCAGACCAUGGGACCGAGAGCUCAGGUGUGGGCGGAGCAUGGCCACCCUACCACGUCCAGGAGGGGGGGAGAUCAGAGAGAGCUCAGGUGUGGGCGGAGCAUGGCCAUCCUACCAUGUCCAGGAGGGGGAGAUCAGAGAGAGCUCUCAGGUGUGGGCAAAGCAUGGCCAUCCUACCACGUCCAGGAGGCGGAGAUCAGAGAGAGUUUGGGUGUGGGCGGAGCAUGGCUAUCUUUCCACGUCCAGGAGGGGAGAUCGGAGUGGGUGCAGGAUUGGAGCUCUCCACAGAUCCACACCAGCAGCUGAAUCAAUCCAAGCCUGCCCAUGUCACGAUGACCCAGCAGUGCCUGUACUACCUGCUAAAACAAGAGCUGGAAAGCUUCAGAGGAAGGUUAGGGAUCCUGAGAUGUGGUCAACAAGUUACCCACAAUGUGUAAUAUUCAGCAAAUAAUCACGCAUACACAGAGAAACGGGGGUAGAAUCUGUGGUCAAGAAAAAGGCAGUAAAAAGUGCACACACAUGCAGGAUGGUCUCUGUCACUCACCACAUGCGGCGGCUGAGA
rnacentral:lncRNA from 1 species